rnacentral:rRNA from 1 species
AAAAACAUCGCCUCUUGACAAAACAUAAGAGGUCCAGCCUGCCCAGUGACAAAGUUCAACGGCCGCGGUACCCUAACCGUGCGAAGGUAGCAUAAUCACUUGUUCUUUAAAUGAGGACUCGUAUCAACGGCACUACGAGGGCUAUACUGUCUCCUUUUUCUAAUCAGUGAAACUGAUCUCCCCGUGAAGAAGCGGGGAUCAAAAUAUAAGACGAGAAGACCCCAUGGAGCUUUAAACUCAUCACGCACCUCUGUGCCCUCAUACCCUUAAACACAAGAGAUCUACGUGCUAGUUUUAGGUUGGGGGGACCACGGAGUAUAACUUAACCUCCAUAACAAAUGGGCUAACACCCUUAUCCAUGAGACACAGCUCUAAGAAUUACUAAACUAAUGCUUAUGACCCGAUAUUCGAUCAAUGAACCAAGUUACCCUGGGGAUAACAGCGCAAUCUACUUCAAGAGCCCAUAUCGACAAGUAGGUUUACGACCUCGAUGUUGGAUCAGGGUAUCCCGGUGGUGCAACCGCUACCGAUGGUUCGUUUGUUCAACGAUUAAAACCCUACGUGAUCU